UCUUCUACCUGUAAUGGCAGAUGUAACACCAGUCAAUAAUUGACAACUGAAAUCAAUCAAUUGAACUAUGAAGCACCAUAACUUAGCUAACUAACCUCUUGGGUAACCAUGUUGUUCUACGAGCUGCUUGCCGCUCUCGAAUGCUACGUCUCUCUGAGGGUUCAUUGGCUUUAUGAUGUUGGUGUUGGUUCAUUAAUGGCCCUGAGAAAUCAACUCUGUCUUCUUCCUGAACGAAAGACUGCAGUUGAGAACCCUUGAGAAUGAUGUUGCUUAGAGUCAUCGAAGGAAUCCAGACGUUCGAAUUUGGUCCAAUGUUUCUGCAUUUCGCUCCUGGAAUACAAGUCAUGGACACCUGAUUCGUGACAAAUAAGAAUAUAAGAAGAGGUACUUACCUUCGCGCCUCAUCACGAGUUCUAGCAUCUAUUUCCUUGUUUGGUGGGUACUUCGGCAGGCUUGAUGCAUGACAUGCAUAAGGUCUUGUUGUGAAAUACUG